rnacentral:tRNA from 1 species
GGCUCAGUAGCUCAGUUGGUUAGAGCGCGGGACUCAUAAGCCUGAAGUCGUUGGUUCAAAUCCGACCUGAGCCA